CAGAUAUUUCCUGCUCUAAAGCCUGCGUGUUAUCUUCCCCCUUUUACUUCCUCCUCACGCUGGUGGCUUAUUAGAGAUCACACACAUGCUGUCCGCUUCACUCAAACACUCAUCGGCGCAUGACACAUACGUGCCACGGAGAGCACACGUCCCCAUGGAAGCGGCACCAGGCCAACGCAGAUCCAACCACUGCAGGAUCGAGAAAGGUCUAUCCACUCAUCUAUCGUUCUCUCUCUGAUCUAGACUCUUCUCUUAGAGUAUUUGACAGACUGUGGUUGACACUCGAUUUAAGGGGGUGUCAGUUUGUCAAAUACCCCAAGAGAGGGGGCACGAGUCUCCAGAGCUCAGCGACUCCAUGUUUGACCUAAGCGAUCCUGUUACACUCUCAUGUUCAACCGUGUUUGCAGUACAUGUGUAAGUUUUAACUACUUUUGGUUAAGCAAAAUGUGUAAGGAAAACAAAAAAAAUCAAAUAUGCAGGACCACAGGAAGAGUUUUCCACAUAAUAAUUUAUUCAUUUAUAAUGUGCAUUUUUGUUCAUUAUCACUGCAAUCUUUCUGGGUGGGCGAGAGGGUAUUAAAUGCAAAGAUUGAAAAACAAAGAUGAGAACGUUCCAUUAAUGUAGUGUUGUCUGUAUCAGGGAUCAUCAUGUUAUAAGUCUUCUUACACUCUCAACAUAAUUCAGAUACCCAGCGUUCAGUGUUCUGAGGACACUGACAGCUGCUGAUGACAGUUGGAGUGAAGUUGUGAAAUGUGUUUGAGUCAUUGUUAUGUGUUGUAAUGCGUGUUGGAGUGUUCUGUAUUUCUGUUAAUUGAAUCGAAUGUUUUGUUUAUCUUUAGUAACUCAAUUCUGUGUACAGUGGUUGUUUGGGAAACACAUGAAAUAAUAAUUUCUCCUUUUAGACAGGACAUUUAAUCAGCAUACGAAAAAUACAUUUGCUUUUCCUGACAGGAAUACUGUUGCUUGCGAGGCUGCAUAAGAAUGGUUUGUUGAAUUCUUGUUUUCUGUGCAUCAUAAAUUGAACAGAGAAUCCCAACUUUCAAUUCUAAUGCUGAAUUUUAAUUUAUUUUGAAUUAAGGUAGCAAAUAUGUUUUUGUUGAAGUGUAAAGGAAAGUUUGCAUGUAAUACAAAUAUAUAUUUGCCAUGGUGAAUUAACUGAACUACUGUGUUGAAUUUCAGUAAAUUCAGCAAAUGUCACUUCCUGUCAUUCCAAUUCAGCUUCCUGUUGGGUGUGGCUUAUUCAAUACAAAUUCAAAUUCUAAAUCAUGAAUUGAAAGAAACCCAAUUCUUCUCUUCUGAACUUUGAACUCAUGCCAUACAUGAGUUGACACUCUGUGACACUCUGGCCAUACAUUUUGACACUCUGGCCAUACAUUUUAAAACAAAAAGUAUAAAGUUAUACAAAAUAUAUAAAAUACAAAAUAUAGUACACCUAAGAUGGAAAUUAUUAAUAAAACACUACAAAUGGAGUCUGUAUGCCAAAUAGUUUGAGCUAAAUGAACUGCAGAAGUUUGUAGUGGUGGGGGGAAAGUAUGCAAGAAAAAAAAAAGUCAAGAAUACACUGAUGCCCCUUGCAUCCACUGCAUUAAAAAGCAUCCUUCUUCAAGCAAAUCAGCUGUAAAGUCUGUUGUUUUAUUACAAUCCGAGGCAUGUAGUGCCCCUACAGAGAAGCCUAUGCUUAAGCAUGGGUUUUAAUGUCACCACCUGUCUAUUGUUUUAUGCAAUAAAGAGAAAUGAGGAAACA